UUUUUUUUUUUUUUUCUUUUUAGGGCUGCACCCACAACAUAUGGAAGCUCCCAGGCUAGGGGUCGAUUCAGAGCUGCAGCUCCAAUUCAGCUCCUAGCUUGGAACCUCCAUAUGCUGUGGGUAUGGUCCUAAAAGGCAAAAAGUAAAAAACAAAAGCAUGAUGUACAUUGAGGUUUGUGUUAAAAGAUCCCUUAACGAUACAUACCAAAUAUUAUAGUCUAAAUGUUGACGUUAUAAACAAGACCAAUCAUAAUUCAAAAACCCCUUUUUAGUGACUGUUAAAAUUUGUCUGGGAGUUCCUGCUGUGGCUCAGCAUGUUAUGAACCCAACUAGUAUCCAUGAGGAUGUGGGUUUGAUCCGUGGCCUCACUCAGUGGGUUAAGAAUCCGGCAUUGCCAGGAGCUACAGUGUAAGUCCAAUGUGGCUCGGAUCUGGUGCCGCUGUGGUGUAGGCCAGCAGCUACAGCUCCAAUUCGACCCCUGGCCUGGGAACUUCCAUAUGCCACAGGUGUGGCCCUAAAAUAUGUGUGAGUAUGUGUAUGUGUGUGUGUGUGUACGGGUGAGUGUAUAGUCUGAUUUAUAAAAGGGAUAAGAUUUGAGCCAAAAGGGAUAAGUUGAGCCAUGUCUUUUAAUUUGUAACUUUAACAAACUGAAUACCAAUUUUUCAAACCAAUGUAAAUUUUCUAGAUAGUCUUUUCUAUGCAUAAAUAUCAGCCUGAGGACCCUUCCCAACAAAGUCCUUACAUCAACCACUCUGUACAUGUGUUUACUGCCCAACUCCUAAAGGAGGCACAGCUGAGACAUUCAAGACCGGCCACUCGAGAAACAGAGGGUAAACACUCGGGCAUGUACUCGCCAGCCGUGCCAACUUGGGGAAUGAAUAACAAAUCGCCUAGAAUGUGUCAGAGACUUUUCUGGGUACAUUGAUAAGCUAACAGGGAAAAACACCCCUGUCCUUCUGGAGUGGACCAGCAAGGAAAAGACACAAGAGAAAUAAAUGGGAAUGGCCGUAUUUAAACCAGGUGCAAAACACCAAGGGAUAAGAGACGCUGUAAUUCUACCCCCUCUAUCACACACCUCUUGCCUAGAAAAAGCUGCUUAUGAACCAGCACAACCCGCACAUUCCGCUGACGUAGUCCCUCUACUUACCUAUCAUAUGCAUAGCAAGCCCAACUAUUUCUAAAUGUCCAUGUGCUAUUCUAGUUCUCCCUGGAUCUAGUGCCACAGUGUAAGUCUCCUGAUGAAGCAGUAUCCGCUGAGCACGUGUGGUUUUUCAGGCCAUCUCCCAUCCACUCCCCACCAAACAGCUCCCUAAUUUCCCUGAAGGAAAUGACUGCAGCCCCACCACGUGCAGUUGGCGGGGGGCGGGGGGGGGGGGGCACACAUCAAGAGCUCUGUCUUUUUUCAUCCAAGACACAGACAUGCAAUUCAAGUAUCACCAAGUGAAUUGACUCUUCUGAGACUGUGACUUGAGCUGGAAGACAGCAAGACAGGAAAAGGCCAAAGGGUGACUAUUCAGGUACCAGCACCCAGAGGGAGUCUGAGGAGUUUCUGCUGGCCCCAAACUGGAACCGCCCUCUGAGGCAGGACUGCACCCAUUCUGUGAGUUACUCUAUCAGCAAAUUAUUUUUGUGUGUGAUGUAGCCAAUGGUUCCCAGCUGACAUUUGAAAAACUUUAACAAAAUAUGUUCACAUGUAUUGGAUCACAUAAACUAUGUAUUUUCCCUUCAGCUGCAAGGUAAGGUUUCAAAUCCAGUAAUCAACAUUAGCCUAAAUAGUCUGCAAAAACUUCUCCCCACUCAGCAUACCCCCCUCAACUAUUAUGCAUUUGCCUUUUUAGCAAUGGGGGUGGGGGUGGGGGGCGCACACACAUCCAAGAAAUGCAGAAGUUCCUGGACCAGGGAUUGAAAUCACCCCACAGCAGUAACCAGAGCCACAGCAGUGACAAUGCAAGAUCCUUAACCUGGUGAGCCACAGGGAACUCCAACAAUCAGGUGAGAUAGAUAUAUCUCUCUCUCUCAAGUGAAACAUAUACGAGUAUGUAUAUAUGUGCUAUAUGUGUAUGUACACAUGUAUAUACAUACACAUGCAUACAUGUGUGUGCAUGUAUGAUGUGUAUCAAGUAUAUUAUAUAUAUAUAUCUCAAGUGAGUGAUGGAUAAACAAUUUCUGGAAGCAGGCAAAAUAUAAUUUAGGAGUAGAAGAAAGAAAAAGCAAAUUAUUCCAUUUGCAUUUUCUAAGGAAUAGGCCUAUCCAAUUUUCAUUCGACACAAGUGUGUUUAUUAUUUUAACUAUCUUCAGCAGUUUUGCAUGUAUCCACCCACUCUUGGCUUUUUACCCAAUUCUCCCAAGCCUGUGCCAUCUUACAAACUGGCUGCAUGGCCUCCGUUUCCCCAUAUGUAUAACAGGGAAACGGUGACUCGUGGGUAGAGACAAUUAGGACUGGAAAGUCUGUCUGGAUUCAGGUACACAGGUCGCUCUGCAAUGAGGCUCUUGAGAAGAUCCAAAUCUUUCCCAAUCGACUGGCAGGAAUUUAAUUCUACAGCCAUCUCUAUUCUUCCUGAGAGACAUACGCUGUGUUUCAUACCAAAACCUCCUGCCAUGAAAGAGUAUCUCCUUCUCUCCCUUUUUUGGAUCUGCCUAAAUGCUGGUCUGCUGUAAACAAGUGACAGGUGUGCUGGGAUGCGGGUUCCCAAGGUGGAGCUCUUGUUUUCUAUUUGUGCAUUAACCUGAAAGAGAGUGGGAAGCAGUGAUCUAGAUCAGUGAGUCUCAAGCUUUAACGGGUAUUUAAAUCACCUAGGAAUCUUUUUUUGUUUGUUUGUUUGUUUGUUUGCUUUUUUAGGGCUGCAUUCACAGCAUGGCUGCCAGCCUCCGCCACAGCAAUGCUGGAUCCAAGUUGCAUCUGCAACCUAUACCACAGCUCACAGCAACACCGGAUCCCCGACCAAAUGAGCAAGGCCAGGGAGCAAACCCACAUCCUCAUGGGUACUAUUCGGAUUCAUUUCUGCCGUGCCACAACAGACACUCCCUUACCUGAGAAUCUUGUGAAAACAAAAAUUCUGACUGAAUGGAUGUAGGGUGGAACUGAGACUCUGCAUUUCUAACCAGCUCUCACAGGAUGCCCAUCUGCAGCCAACACCUAACACUCAACCAGGUGUCUAGAGUACGUGUUUCACUAGACUUUCCUGUGAAACAGAGAAAGACACGGUUAACCAGUUUUAAAAUUUCUACUGCUUCCCGGUCUCUUGGUUAGAGUAACUUCAGAAGUGUCUUUGGUUUCUUCUACCCUCAUAAAGUAAUAACUUCUACAUUUUAAAUUCUUUUCUUUUACAUGUGCAGGAUCUGAAUAACUUCCUAAUGAAUACUAAAAAGUAAUAAUUUCUUGAGGCUUGGGAAAAAAAUAAAAUUUCAAUAGAAACAAAAAAUAAAAAUUAAUACAAUCCACAACUGAAAGUACUUACAAUGGGAUUAAAGAUAAGAAAUCCACUUUCACAACUGUUCCGAGGACACACAACUGAGAGAGGUGAAGUAGUCACUAAAACUCGGGUCACUCAAACCCGAGUCCACCCAGCAGCAAAGCUCUUCCUGCCUGUUAUGGCUGAACUGCAUGGCCCCAAAAUUCUUAGGUUCAAACUCCUAACCCCCAGUACCUCAAAACGUGACCUUCUUUGGAACGAGGGUCACUGCAGAUGUAAUUAUUAAAUGAGCUAGGGCUGAAUCCACUAUGACUGGUGUCCUUUUUAUAAAAGACAAAUGAAGGAGUUCCCGUCGUGGCUCAGCGGUUAACGAAUCUGACUAGGAACCAUGAGGUUGAGGGUUCGGUCCCUGGCCUUGUUCAGUGGGUUAGGAUCCAGUGUUGCCGUGAGCUGUGGUGUAGGUCGCAGGAGCGGCUCGGAUCCCAUGUUGCUGUGGCUCUGGUGUAGGCCGGUGGCUACAGCUCCGAUUCUACCCCUAGCCUGGGAACCUCCAUGUGCCGCAGGAACAGCCCUAGAAAAGACAAAAGGACCAAAAAAAAAAAAA
ensembl:lncRNA